rnacentral:rRNA from 1 species
AGAGUUUGAUCCUGGCUCAGAACGAACGCUGGCGGCAGGCUUAACACAUGCAAGUCGAGCGCCCCGCAAGGGGAGCGGCAGACGGGUGAGUAACGCGUGGGAAACUACCCUUUGGUACGGAACAACUCCGGGAAACUGGAGCUAAUACCGUAUGUGCCCUUCGGGGGAAAGAUUUAUCGCCAUAGGAUGUGCCCGCGUAGGAUUAGCUAGUUGGCGGGGUAAUGGCCCACCAAGGCGACGAUCCUUAGCUGGUCUGAGAGGAUGAUCAGCCACACUGGGACUGAGACACGGCCCAGACUCCUACGGGAGGCAGCAGUGGGGAAUAUUGGACAAUGGGCGCAAGCCUGAUCCAGCCAUGCCGCGUGAGUGAUGAAGGCCUUAGGGUUGUAAAGCUCUUUCGCACGCG